CCUACGGGUGGCAGCAGUGGGGAAUAUUGCACAAUGGGGGAAACCCUGAUGCAGCGACGCCGCGUGAGUGAAGAAGUAUUUCGGUAUGUAAAGCUCUGUCAGCAGGGAAGAAAAUGACGGUACCUGACCAAGAAGCCCCGGCUAACUACGUGCCAGCAGCCGCGGUAAUACGUAGGGGGCAAGCGUUAUCCGGAUUUACUGGGUGUAAGGGGAGCGUAGACGGCAGGGCAAGUCUGGAGUGAAAGGCGGGGGCUCAACCCCCGGACUGCUCUGGAAACUGGCAGGCUGGAGUGCAGGAGAGGUAAGUAGAAUUCCAAGUGUAGCGGUGAAAUGCGUAGAGAUUAGGAGGAACACCAGUGGCGAAGGCGGCUCACUGGACUGUAACUGACGUUGAGGCGCGAAAGCGUGGGGAGCAAACAGGAUUAGAUACCCCAGUAGUC
rnacentral:rRNA from 1 species